CUACACAAUACGUAACUAAUAAUAUCGCUGGCACAUUUCAAUAUCUGAGAGGGACAAGAAUAUAAACCAUGUGCUUUGUUGAUUGGAAGUGCUAAAAUCUCAAGUUUCACUUCAACAGGAGUAAUUAGAUUAAAACAAAACGAAUCUCGCGGAGAUUUAGAUUUUAUAAGAAAGUCGGAAUAGUGCUUUCGCGGGUCUAGUAACUGGUUAGCCAAUUUAUGUCCAACUGAUGCAAAAUGAUUAUUUAAUAUAUCUGGGAUAUGGG